CUCUUAGAUUUCAGUGAUACAUAACAGAAUCUAAAUAGCUAAAAUUUAUAAUUCAUUGGGAAUAUUUAGAAUCAUCCUCUUGUAGAGAGUCAUGAAGCUCAGUAGCAUAUCAAAGUCACUGAAAAAUAAUCCCAAAUGAGUGAAUCAUGGAAUCCUUUUUUUUAUUCAAGAAUUAUUAACACCAUAAAACACACUUUGACAAAUCCUUAAGAAAGAUGAGUUUUUUACAUAGAUUGAUUUGUAUAAAUAAGAAUUUCUUUUCAUUUUCCCUAAAACAAUUUUUUGAAGCUUCAAGAAAAAAACACAGGAGGAAAAAAUUAGUUUCCUAUUCCAAGAUUCAAUGUGAAAACUGAUGUUCUACUCUCCAUAUUUUCGGGAUUUUAUUUUAACACAGGUCCUUGAAUACAGUGUUGGGGUUCCCGGAAUGAUACCCCAAAGUAUGGUUAUUUGGAAUGCUGAGCACUUUUGAUUUAAGUGAAAUUGGAAGGCCUUAGAAGUGGCCUCAAAACUAGAGACUUUCUAACCGUCUCCCUUCUCUUCCAACAACCCCAACCCCUACACCACAACAAGCACAGGAACGGCUCUCUCUGGAAGUUCCCUUAUCUAACGGAGGAAAACUUCUUCCAAAAGAAAUGCAAUUGUCCUAAAAUCCCCUCUCUAGAAAUUUCAUUCCGUAACCAGAAAGGUUAACCACUGGAGAAGAAAAGAUACCAUACGUUGUCAUCACACCCAGACACCUAUUCUUUUCACUUAUUCUUCUGAGGAUAACUUCAAGAGGUUGCCUGGGAGACUUAUCUGUAUAAGACAAUCUUCGUUCACAGUGAAGUUUUGUCCCUCAACUUCCCACUAUCUAUUGCCAUCUCCCCAGAAUUCAGAGGAACUUUGUCCCAGCUCAUUGACUGUCCUCUGUGCUCACUCAAUUCCCCUGAAAAUCAUGUGCUACCUCUCAAAAUUGCCUAUAUUCCCCUAUUUCCUUCUUGCCUCUGAAGAGGGUGCUAUCUAAGCUUCAGCCAUCUGGCCCUUCGUUGAGUGUCAUUUUUUGCAUGGCUCAUAUACACGUCAUGUUAAUAAAUUUGUAUGCCUUUUCUCCUGUUAAAUCUGCCUCUUGUGAGUUCGUUUCAGCAGAUUUGAACCUUUAAAGGGGAAGGGAAAAUUCUCAUCACCCUUACAAUAGCAAGAGUUUUAUAAAUAUGAAUAUGUAAACUUUCUUUCUCCUCUAAAUAUUUUUUAUUCAAGUCUCAUAUAAAGUUGCUAUAUGCUGUUGACAAUUCUAAUUACCUUCUCUCAAUCUCUCUAGCUUCUUCUUGCUUCCUUGAGGGAGACAGGUCAGAAUAGCCUAUGAUAUCGCAAUUAUAGAUGCACUAUGUCAAAGAUAAGAUUUGUAAGUUUGUUUCUGAUGAUGACCAGCACUUUGUAGACUUUCUUGGUUGUAAACUCCAGAGUUGACGCAACUGAUGAAAAAGAAAAGAUGCACAAAAUGUCACAGGUUAGAGAAGACUA
rnacentral:lncRNA from 1 species